AUGAGAAUCAAUCCUACUACUUUUUGUUCUGGGUUUCCACGCUUGAAAAUAAAAACACAGGGCGUGUCGUCCAAAUCAUCGGUCCGGUACUAGAUGUAGCCUUUCCCCCGGGCAAGGUGCCAAAUAUUUAUAACGCUCUGGUAGUUCAAGGUCGAGAUAGUGUUGGUCAACCAAUUAAUGUGGCUUGUGAGAUACAUCAAUUAUUAGGAAAUAAUCGAGUUAGGGCUGUAGCUAUGAGUGCUACAAACAGUCUAACGACAGGAAUGACAGUGAUUGAAACAGGAGCUCCUAUAAGUGUUCCAGUCGGGGGAGCGACUCUGGGAUGAAUUUUUAAUGUGCUCGGAGAGCAUGUUGAUAAUUUAGGGCCUGUAGAUACUAGUACAACAUCUCCUAUUCAUAGAUCCGUGCCCGCCUUUAUACAGUUGGAUACAAAAUUAUCUAUUUUUGAAACAGGAAUUAAAGUAGUAGAUCUUUUAGCCCCCUAUCGCCGUGGAGGAAAAAUCGGACUAUUCGGGGGAGCUGGAGUGGGUAAAACAGUACUCAUUAUGGAAUUGAUUAACAAUAUUGCUAAAGCUCACGGGGGCGUAUCCGUAUUUGGCGGAGUGGGUGAACGUACUCGGGAAGGAAAUGAUCUUUACAUGGAAAUGAAAGAAUCUGGAGUGAUUAAUAAAGAAAAUAUUGCAGAAUCAAAAGUGGCCCUAGUUUACGGUCAGAUGAAUGAACCGCCGGGAGCUCGUAUGAGAGUUGGUUUGACUGCCCUAACUAUGGCGGAAUAUUUCCGAGAUGUUAAUGAGCAAGACGUACUUCUAUUUAUUGACAAUAUCUUCCGUUUCGUCCAAGCAGGAUCCGAAGUAUCGGCCUUAUUGGGUAGAAUGCCUUCCGCUGUGGGUUAUCAACCGACCCUAAGUACCGAAAUGGGUUCUUUACAAGAAAGAAUUACUUCUACCAAAGACGGGUCCAUAACCUCUAUUCAAGCAGUUUAUGUACCCGCAGACGAUUUGACCGACCCUGCUCCUGCUACGACAUUUGCACAUUUAGAUGCUACUACCGUACUAUCAAGAGGAUUGGCUGCCAAAGGUAUUUAUCCAGCAGUAGAUCCUUUAGAUUCAACGUCAACCAUGCUUCAACCUCGGAUCGUUGGUGAGGAACAUUACGAAACCGCCCAAAGAGUUAAGCAAACUUUACAACGUUACAAAGAACUUCAGGACAUUAUAGCUAUCCUUGGAUUGGACGAAUUAUCCGAAGAGGAUCGUUUACUCGUAGCAAGAGCGCGAAAAAUUGAGCGUUUCUUAUCACAACCCUUUUUCGUAGCAGAAGUAUUUACCGGUUCUCCAGGGAAAUAUGUUGGUCUAGCAGAAACAAUUCGAGGAUUUCAAUUGAUCCUUUCCGGAGAAUUAGAUGGUCUUCCUGAACAGGCCUUUUAUUUGGUAGGUACUAUCGAUGAAGCUACCGCGAAGGCUAUGAACUUAGAAAUGGAGAGCAAUUUGAAGAAAUGA